UACAGAGGUCUCAAGCGUUGUUCGGAUUCAUUGGGCGUAAAGGGUGCGUAGGCGGCGCGGUAAGUCGGGUCGGUGAAAUCCCCGGGCUCAACCUGGGAAUGGCGUUGGUGACUGCAAGGCUAGGAGUUUGGCAGAGGGGGUAGAAUUCCACGGUGUAGCAGUGAAAUGCGUAGAUAUCUGGAGGAACACCGGUGGCGAAGGCGGCAUCCUGGACCAACACUGACACUGAGGAGCGAAAGCCAGGGGAGCAACGGG
rnacentral:rRNA from 1 species